rnacentral:rRNA from 1 species
AUGCCUUCAUGCUGGACCGAGGAGGAGAAGAAGGGGGGCACGUCGAAGGUGCCGGUGGAGCGCGCCGUCGAGAUUGUUGAUGACAGCGACACGGGCGAGGCCGGGGAGGAGGUCAUGGUUGAUGCUUUACUGCCUGAAUAUGUUGACCGGGAACAAGAGGGUAAGAUGGAUGUGAGGGCGGAGGCGCAUGCCAUGGUGCAGGAUGUUGUGGAAGCCUGA